UUGACGGUACCCUACUAGAAAGGAGCCGCUAACUUCGUGCCAGAAGCGUCGGUAAUACGGGGGCUCCAAGCGUUAUCCGGUGUUAUUGGGCGUAAAGAGUCGUGUAGGUGGUUGGGUAAGUUAUCUUUCAAAUAUCUUUGCUUAACAAAGAGGAGGGGGAUAAUACUGCUCGACUAGAAUUUUCUCAAGGGAGAUCGGAACUGAGGGAGGAGUAGUGAAAUGCGUUGAUACCCUCGGGAACACCAGUGGCGUAGGCGGAUCUCUGGGAGAAGAUUGACACUGAGACACGAAAGCUAGGGGAGCGAAGCAGAUUAGAGACCUGCGUAGUCCUAGCCGUAAACGCAUGCUUGCUAGCUGCAUGAAUCUACCUUCGGGUGGUAUCGUGUGGCGAAGGUAACCCGUUAAGCAAGCCGCCUGGAAAGUACGGCCGCAAGGCUGAAAUUCAAAGGAAUUGGCGGGGAGGCACACAACCAGUGGAACAUGUGGUUUAAUUCGAGACCAACCGAAGAACCUCACCAGGGUUUGACAUGUAGCUGCACGUCUUAAGAAAUUAAGACUCUCUUGAAGGUGCUACACAGGUGCUGCAUGGCUGUCGUCAGCUCGUUCCGUGAGGAGUGCCCUUAAGUGGGACAACGAGCGCAACCCCUAUUACAUGUUAGAAAUGUCAUGUAAGACUGCCUUGCCAUUUGGCGGGGAGGAAGGAGGGGCAGACGUCAAGUCCGCAUGGUCCUUAUGCCCUGGGCUACACACAUGUUACAAUGAGUACGGCAAUGAGUCUGUCGCGAGCACGUAAGUGUAAGCUAAUCUCUUAAAUGUACUCUCAGUGGGGAUUGAGGUCUGCAACUCGACCUCAUGAACACGGAAUUGGUAGUAAUCGCGGGUCAGCUAUACCGCGGUGAUACGUUCUUGCCUCUUGCACACACCGCCCGUCAAACCAGCAAAGU
rnacentral:rRNA from 1 species